GAUGAAGAACGUAGCGAACUGCGAUAAGUAAUGUGAAUUGCAGAAUUCAGUGAAUCAUCGAGUCUUUGAACGCACAUUGCGCCCCCUGGCAUUCCGGGGGGCAUGCCUGUCCGAGCGUCAUUGCUGCCCUUCAAGCCCGGCUUGUGUGUUGGGUCGUCGUCCCCCCCGGGGGACGGGCCCGAAAGGCAGCGGCGGCACCGCGUCCGGUCCUCGAGCGUAUGGGGCUUUGUCACCCGCUCGAUUAGGGCCGGCCGGGCGCCAGCCGGCGUCUCCAACCUUCUAUUUUACCAGGUUGAUCUCGGAUCAGGUAGGGAUACCCGCUGAACUUAAGCAUAUCAAUAAGCGGAGGA
rnacentral:misc_RNA from 1 species